rnacentral:rRNA from 1 species
UACGUAGGGUGCGAGCGUUGAUCGGAAUUAUUGGGCGUAAAGCGUGCGUAGGCGGGUUUGUAAGUCAGAUGUGAAAUCCCCGGGCUUAACCUGGGAAUGGCAUUUGGGACUGCCAGGCUGGAGUGUGGCAGAGGAGACUGGAAUUCCUGGUGUAGCAGUGAAAUGCGUAGAUAUCAGGAGGAAUACCGAUGGCGAAGGCAGGUCUCUGGGCUGACACUGACGCUCAUGCACGAAAGCGUGGGGAGCAAACAGG